UACGUAGGUGGCAAGCGUUGUCCGGAAUUAUUGGGCGUAAAGCGCGCGCAGGCGGUUCCUUAAGUCUGAUGUGAAAGCCCACGGCUCAACCGUGGAGGGUCAUUGGAAGCUGGGGAACUUGAGUGCAGGAGAGAAGAGUGGAAUUCCACGUGUAGCGGUGAAAUGCGUAGAGAUGUGGAGGAACACCAGUGGCGAAGGCGACUCUUUGGCCUGUAACUGACGCUGAGGCGCGAAAGCGUGGGGAGCAAACAGG
rnacentral:rRNA from 1 species